GAUGAACGCUGGCGGCGUGCCUAAUACAUGCAAGUCGAGCGAACAGACGAGGAGCUUGCUCCUCUGACGUUAGCGGCGGACGGGUGAGUAACACGUGGAUAACCUACCUAUAAGACUGGGAUAACUUCGGGAAACCGGCGCUAAUACCGGAUAAUAUAUUGAACCGCAUGGUUCAAUAGUGAAAGACGGUUUUGCUGUCACUUAUAGAUGGAUCCGCGCCGCAUUAGCUAGUUGGUAAGGUAACGGCUUACCAAGGCAACGAUGCGUAGCCGACCUGAGAGGGUGAUCGGCCACACUGGAACUGAGACACGGUCCAGACGCCUAAGGGAGGCAGCAGUAGGGAAUCUGCCGCAAUGGGCGAAAGCCUGACGGAGCAACGCCGCGUGAGUGAUGAAGGUCUUCGGAGCGUAAAACUCUGUUAUUAGGGAAGAACGAAUGUGUAAGUAACUAUGCACGUCUUGACGGUACCGAAUCAGAAAGCCACGGCUAACUACGUG
rnacentral:rRNA from 1 species